rnacentral:rRNA from 1 species
GCGGUCCUAUGCAUGCAAGUCGAGCGGACAGAAGGGAGCUUGCUCCCGGAUGUUAGCGGCGGACGGGUGAGUAACACGUGGGUAACCUGCCUGUAAGACUGGGAUAACUCCGGGAAACCGGAGCUAAUACCGGAUAGUUCCUUGAACCGCAUGGUUCAAGGAUGAAAGACGGUUUCGGCUGUCACUUACAGAUGGACCCGCGGCGCAUUAGCUAGUUGGUGGGGUAAUGGCUCACCAAGGCGACGAUGCGUAGCCGACCUGAGAGGGUGAUCGGCCACACUGGGACUGAGACACGGCCCAGACUCCUACGGGAGGCAGCAGUAGGGAAUCUUCCGCAAUGGACGAAAGUCUGACGGAGCAACGCCGCGUGAGUGAUGAAGGUUUUCGGAUCGUAAAGCUCUGUUGUUAGGGAAGAACAAGUGCGAGAGUAACUGCUCGCACCUUGACGGUACCUAACCAGAAAGCCACGGCUAACUACGUGCCAGCAGCCGCGGUAAUACGUAGGUGGCAAGCGUUGUCCGGAAUUAUUGGGCGUAAAGGGCUCGCAGGCGGUUUCUUAAGUCUGAUGUGAAAGCCCCCGGCUCAACCGGGGAGGGUCAUUGGAAACUGGGAAACUUGAGUGCAGAAGAGGAGAGUGGAAUUCCACGUGUAGCGGUGAAAUGCGUAGAGAUGUGGAGGAACACCAGUGGCGAAGGCGACUCUCUGGUCUGUAACUGACGCUGAGGAGCGAAAGCGUGGGGAGCGAACAGGAUUAGAUACCCUGGUAGUCCACGCCGUAAACGAUGAGUGCUAAGUGUUAGGGGGUUUCCGCCCCUUAGUGCUGCAGCUAACGCAUUAAGCACUCCGCCUGGGGAGUACGGUCGCAAGACUGAAACUCAAAGGAAUUGACGGGGGCCCGCACAAGCGGUGGAGCAUGUGGUUUAAUUCGAAGCACGCGAAGAACCUUACCAGGUCUUGACAUCCUCUGACAACCCUAGAGAUAGGGCUUUCCCUUCGGGGACAGAGUGACAGGGUGCAUGGUUGUCGUCAGCUCGUGUCGUGAGAUGUUGGGUUAAGUCCCGCAACGAGCGCAACCCUUGAUCUAGUUGCCAGCAUUUAGUGGGCACUCUAAGGUGACUGCCGGUGACAAACGAGAAGUGGGAUGACGUCAAUCAUCAUGCCCUUAUGACUGGCUAUCCACUGCUACAUGAAAGAACCAAGGGCUGCGAACCGCCAAGGUUUUAGCCAAAUUCA